rnacentral:rRNA from 1 species
UACGGGGGGGGCAAGCGUUGUUCGGAAUUACUGGGCGUAAAGCGCGUGUAGGCGGCUUGUUAAGUCGGUUGUGAAAACCCAUGGCUCAACCAUGGAAGGGCGUCCGAAACUGGCAAGCUAGAGUCCCGACGAGGAUGGCGGAAUUCCCAGUGUAGAGGUGAAAUUCGUAGAUAUUGGGAGGAACACCGGUGGCGAAGGCGGCCAUCUGGGAGGGCACUGACGCUGAGACGCGAAAGCGUGGGGAGCAAACAGG